rnacentral:rRNA from 1 species
UACGAAGGGGGGCUAGCGUUGCUCGGAAUCACUGGGCGUAAAGGGUGCGUAGGCGGGUCUUUAAGUCAGGGGGUGAAAUCCUGGAGCUCAACUCCAGAACUGCCUUUGAUACUGAGGAUUUUGAGUUCGGGAGAGGUGAGUGGAACUGCGAGUGUAGAGGGUGAAAUUCGUAGAUAUUCGGAGGAACACCAGUGGCGAAGGCGGCUCACUGGUCCGGUACUGACGCUGAGGUGCGAAAGCGUGGGGAGCAAACAGG